AUGGAGUUCCCUUGCGCUGCGGCACGAUUCCCUCUGCAAGGACAGACUUGCAAAGGUUCGGACUACGUGCUAGGUGCGGAGGGGGCUGCCCAGAGCUUCCUGCCCUCCAUCCAUGAACUACCCUUUGCCUCCCGGGAAGGAGAAGAAGGGCUCCCUCCUCGCCUUCCUGGGCGGCAAAAGAGAGAGCCUUUUCCUCCCGGGAAGGAGAAGAAGGGCUCCCUCCUCUCCUUCCCAGGUGGUGAGAGAGAGAGCCUUCGCCUCCUGGGAAGGAGAAGAAGGGCUCCCUCCUCUCCUUCCCGGGCUCCUCCUUCAUGGCUGGCAAAGGGGGCCGCUGCCAUCGCCGCCGCCCGGGAAGGAGAAGAAGGGCUGCCUCCUCUCCUUCCCGGGCGGCGAAAGAGAGAGCCUUCGCGGCCCGGGAAGGAGAAGAAGGGCUGCCUCCUCUCCUUCCCGGGCGGCGAAAGAGAGAGCCUUCGCGGCCCGGGAAGGAGAAGAAGGGCUGCCUCCUCUCCUUCCCGGGCGGCGAAAGAGAGAGCCUUCGCGGCCCGGGAAGGAGAAGAAGGGCUGCCUCCUCUCCUUCCCGGGCGGCGAAAGAGAGAGCCUUCGCGGCCCGGGAAGGAGAAGAAGGGCUGCCUCCUCUCCUUCCCGGGCGGCGAAAGAGAGAGCCUUCGCGGCCCGGGAAGGAGAAGAAGGGCUGCCUCCUCUCCUUCCCGGGCGGCGAAAGAGAGAGCCUUCGCGGCCCGGGAAAGAGAAGAAGGGCUGCCUCCUCUCCUUCCCGGGUGGCGAAGGAGGCCACUGCCACUGGGGAAAGCGAAGGAGGGCUCCUCCUUUGCCUUCCCAUCGCCGCUGGGGAAGGCGCACCUUCCCUUCUUCUUCGGCUCCCUCUUCCUAGGUCUUACUUUCGGGGGGGUGUCUUAUAUUAGACCAUCCCCCCAAAUCUCUUAUUUUAUGGGGAUGUCUCAUUUUCGGGGAAGCACGGUAGUUCAAUAUCAGGAUCACAACAAAAACAUUGGUUUCUCUGUGUAG
rnacentral:lncRNA from 1 species